rnacentral:rRNA from 1 species
UGGGGAAUAUUGCACAAUGGCCGCAAGCCUGAUGCAGCCAUGCCGCGUGUGUGAAGAAGGCCUUCGGGUUGUAAAGCACUUUCAGCGAGGAGGAAGGGUAGUGUGUUAAUAGCACAUUGCAUUGACGUUACUCGCAGAAGAAGCACCGGCUAACUCCGUGCCAGCAGCCGCGGUAAUACGGAGGGUGCCAGCGUUAAUCGGAAUUACUGGGCGUAAAGCGCACGCAGGCGGUUUGUUAAGUCAGAUGUGAAAUCCCCGCGCUUAACGUGGGAACUGCAUUUGAAACUGGCAAGCUAGAGUCUUGUAGAGGGGGGUAGAAUUCCAGGUGUAGCGGUGAAAUGCGUAGAGAUCUGGAGGAAUACCGGUGGCGAAGGCGGCCCCCUGGACAAAGACUGACGCUCAGGUGCGAAAGCGUGGGGAGCAAACA